rnacentral:lncRNA from 1 species
AGCAAUUGGGGGUUUGCUAAAUACCGAAAAAAAAUGUUUAGGGGGUAAUGGGACUCCAGUAAAGAUUGAGUGCGUAGUUGAGAUUUCGACUAAAGGUUGGAGGGGUAAUAGACCAUUUUCUCAAAAAAGUAUAAAAAAAAAUAUUAGAAGAAAAUCUCUCUCUAAACAAAACUCUUAAACGAGUACAUUGUGGAUGAUACUGC